UACGGAGGGGGCAAGCGUUGUUCGGAAUUAUUGGGCGUAAAGGGCGCGUAGGCGGCGAGGUAAGUCAGACGUGAAAUCCCUCGGCUUAACCGAGGAAUUGCGUUUGAUACUGCCAUGCUUGAGGCCAGGAGAGGAGAGUGGAAUUCCCAGUGUAGCGGUGAAAUGCGUAGAUAUUGGGAGGAACACCGGUGGCGAAGGCGGCUCUCUGGACUGGUUCUGACGCUGAGGCGCGAAAGCUAGGGGAGCAAACAGG
rnacentral:rRNA from 1 species